rnacentral:misc_RNA from 1 species
GAUGAAGAACGUUGCGAAAUGCGAUAAGUAGUGUGAAUUGCAGAAUUCAGUGAAUCAUCGAAUCUUUGAACGCACAUUGCGCCCCUUGGUAUUCCAUGGGGCAUGCCUGUUCGAGCGUCAUUUGUACCUUCAAGCUUUGCUUGGUGUUGGGUGUUUGUCCAUUCUCUUGCAGAGGGACUCGCCUUAAAGUAAUUGGCAGCCAGUGUUUUGGUUUUGAAGCGCAGCACAAGUCGCGAUUCAACGCUAUACGCCAGCUUCCACAAGCCUUUUUCACUUUUGACCUCGGAUCAGGUAGGGAUACCCGCUGAACUUAAGCAUAUCAAUAAGCGGAGGA